AAGACAGCAGAUUGGGAAGGAUGGCAUCAUCACUGAUCAAACAAGUGGAUGAAAAGGAACACUUGGUUUUAUUUUCAGGAUAAGCAGGGUAGUAUUCCACAAGUGGCUGGAUUAUACCUUCCUUCAUUCUUGACCACUGUCUACUGUAGUGUUUCUCAAUCUUGGCAACUUUAAGAUGUGUGGAUUUCAACACCAAAAUUCCCCAGCCAGCCAUGCUUACUCCAGAUACCAAAGGUAGUAGAGAUCACCGCUGCUUUCAAAACUAAAGGAGCUAAUCUCUGAGCAGAUGCCAUGUGGAGGAGAAAAAAGCAUCUGGAAACUGAAAGUCUGCCAGCUAUGGAGAUUACCACAGCUGGACUACCAAUAAACUUAUCUGUGGUUGUUCCAAAUUCUUCAGGGCAGGACAAUAUGUUGCUGACAAAGGUUUAAUUGACCUGCAGAAAUUUGUUCCUUUCCUUGGUCUGUUCAAAACAAGCCAGCAAUUAUCUUUGGAAUGCCAUCUCAGCAAGGCCUGAGUGAGAAGGUUUUUCUACUGCAAAGAUCCAGCUCUAGAAUUUACAAAAAUAAUAAAGAUUAACUGUCUCUGAUUCAACAUUACCUGAUUUUAGACUGUGUUUGUUAAAAAUCCAUACCGUGUACGGG